CUACUCAUUUUUUCUUUCCAUGCCCCUUGGCAGUCAUCAUUCCACCUGACCAUUUGAUUUCUUUUCUCUCUUUUUUUGUUUGUUUUUGGUUCAGGCGUUUCUUGCACUGUUUUUUUUCUUUUUUUUUUUUUGCAGGAAAAACCUCGAUUCCUCUUUCAUUCACAACAUGCCUCGGCAGCUUGCUGGACAGCACUCCAUAAGUGCACUGACUUAGACUCAACAGUAUGAGUUAUCUCCACCGGUCAAACAACUUGAUCAAGUCCACCGGGUGCCCCUCUUCUGCUUGGGACUUUGUCAUCAUGUCAUCAACAUGGCAUUCGCUUUCACGAUGAGUCAUAUCAUGAAACAAAGUCACCGUAGCCCUUUGAUUCGUGGCACCGGCCUUCUUCUUCACUAGAGGAUAGUCUUC
rnacentral:lncRNA from 1 species